GGUACAACAAAUUACAACCUCUUCUUCUUUCCUGGGAGGCGAUCAGGCUCAGCCACCGCACGCUCCGUCAGGUCCAGUAUCUCUCUCUCUUUUCUUUAUUAAAAUACUAGUAUUUUAUUCUUUGAUGAUGAUUAUUAUAUCGUAUUUCUAUGCCUGACUCUGUGUUUUUUGUUCUUUUUUUGGGUAAUUGUUAUUAUAAUACUAUCUGUCACACAUAUUUAGGAGCUUUCUUUCUGGGAUCUCUUUCUCUCUGUUUCUGCUUUAUAAUUACUUUGGAGGGAAUUUUGAUUUCUUGAUUAGCAGUUAUUGUGAAGGUAUGAUUGGUUAUGACUUGCAAAACAUGAUUGAGAUUGGAGUUGACACGAAUCUAAACUGUUGUUAGGAAUUCAUAUCUGUAUGGUGUUUGAAAUUCUUUAUGUAUUCACAGAAAAAUUUCAGAUUUUUCUGUGAAGUUUGAGUUAUGAUUAAUUCGAAUUUAAGCUUUUCAAUUACUUUGAUGAUAUUAAAUUAUUAAAGUUUUGAUGGAGGGAUUUGAAUUUGAUAGUUAUUAUCUGUGGUUAUGUUCAUGAAAAAUAAUAAUUUUAAGUCCACAUCAAAUAAGGAAAUGAAUAUGGAUUUAAAAUAUUUAGUAGUAUAAUUUAAGAUCCACCACAAAUAAGUUCUCAAUGGCAUCCAUAAAUCAAGAAUUCAUUUGCAAAUAAAACUUGAAUUAAAAUAAAUUAAAAUAGAAUCAUGUCUAAGUCAUUCGUUUGAAGUCCGUCUAUUAUUACAUCAAUUUAUAUAAUUCAAUCUUCAUUUUGUGCCUUCUCUCUUCUGUUGUGAUAUCAAAUUGCUUAGUUUAAUCCCGCUGCCUUUCCCAUUCCAGGAAAGUAGUUGGUUUUGAUGGUAUAUUCACUGGUUCUGUAUAAUCUUUAUCUUUUGGUAUGACCUUUUCUUUUUCUUCUAAAUCUUCGCUGAAGGAAGGUUAAGGACUCCAUAAAUUACCCUUCCCAAAGCCCACAAAAUAAGGAGACUCGAACGCUGGGAUACAGCUUCUUAGGGUAAAAAUACCCAUGCUUUUGUGCACUUUGUCUAAGCUUUAAGUAGCAUAAGCCCUAAUAAUCAGGUUCAGUCUCUAUUUGUUUCCUAGUUUCUAGAUUGUUAAGAAUCCACAUCUAAUAAAACACAAAGUGUAAAUGGUAUAUAAUGCAAUGCCAACUAGCUAAUUGGUUAGUUUUAAACCUUUUAGCUAUGGUUGGUCCAAGCGCAAGUCAGCCCAAAUUUCCUACUUAACGGUAUCUAACCCUCACCACUACCCUUCAAUUCAAAAUUUUAAUACAGAUGUACUAGAAAAAAAUUUCAACCUUGAGAAUUUUCUGACUUCAUAAGUGUUGGGGAUUAUUUUUUAGGUGAAGUAUCAUGGGUUUCUAAUAACAAAACCAUCAUGUUUAAACUAUGCAGGAAUAAAUAAAGCCCAGUAAAUCAUGCUAAAAAGGCUUUGUGAUUCAUGGUGGAACAUUGUAUGUUUGCAGAAGCUUCACUCAGUCCACAUCUUGUGAUUUGUUUUACCUAAUAAAUUCAAGAUUUUAUGUAGCUAUUUAGUUGAUUCUUGAUGCAGUGAUAUCAAAUCCUUUCUCAAAGUUAAGAUUGUUGUAUGUAAUGCAGAACUUUCCAAUGCAUAUCAUUUGAUGGUUGGAUAUACUAUUUUUGCAGGUAAACUCCUUGC
rnacentral:misc_RNA from 1 species